UGCGAUUUCAGGCGAACUACGGUAUACCUUUAUUCUCCUUGACAAUUGUACCCACAGGCACAAUGCGUGCCCUAGUGGUCCUGGGGGCAAUGUCCUUGGCAGGAUUUGGCUCUCCUGUCCUCCUGAUGGGCACUCACAGGAACGCAGCACUCCCAAGUAGCUCCGUGGCUUAUCAGCUAAUAGGAGCAACGUCAGAAGGAAAAUGUACAGAUCACUGUGCCCGCGAUCCAGUUUGUACAGCCUAUACAGUGCAGACCGAAGGAG